AUGGGCAUGCUGCUCCGCCGGGUCUCCAGAAAAACCCUCAGCCAGACCCAAAUCCAGACCCAGGACUCCCAGGACACAAACCCAACUCCCCACAGUCCCGUAGCCCACUUACAGCAGCCUCUGGCCGGCCCCCCUGACAGGCGGACCCCGCUGAAACGAGCCAGACAGGGCCUGGCUGAGAGUAUAUGUCUGACCCCACUGGUAGAGGAGCAAGGCCUAGCCUCGGAAGCACCAGAGCCCCACUCGGUCCCCCAGGAGGGUGCGCUCAGGCUCGAGGUGGGGAAGGAGUAUCAACCCCUGAUCUCCAGUGGUAUUCCAACCAGAAAGAAAAGUCCUGGGGAGGCCAGGGAGUCCUUUGAGAUGGAGGAGAUCCAGAGCUUUGAUGAGGGCAGUAUUUCUGGGAGCUACAUGGGAGCAUCUGACACCACAGCAGUGUGUGUGAUGAGGACUAACAGCUGCCAGUCUGACAGCAGUGGUUUCCUGGAAGAGCCCUUCAUCCCGUCCAUUACCCAGCAUCCCUCACCUGGACCCGAGCUCAUGAAGGCUUUGUCGGGAAUAUCUGGAGGCAGCACUGACAGCCAGAUCACUGUAAAAGGAGCUUCACCCCCCUCCUCCCCCCCAUCCACUUCCCUGGACCCUUCCCCUCCUUCCCUCUCCACGUGCCACCCAAGACCCGAGUCUCCUCUAUACAGACCAGAGACAACAAGCCCUACAGAGGAGACACCCAGACACCAGGAUUUCCCCACACCCCACUCCCUCCUCUCUGAUGCCUUGGAGAUGACUAACUCUGCGUUUGGAGCCAGGCCAAGCCUAAUGGAAAACACUGUCACUGAGGAAGAUGGAUUCUCUUCGGCCUGCUGUGCACCUUGUCAUAAGCCAGACUCUCCGUUACGGCACGUUAUUAUUAUCAUGAAAACAGAUAGAGAAACAGAACACUUUACUCUGGAAUCAGAGGAAGCUGUUCCAAUAGAAGGAGAGGAAAAGGCCAUAGCGGAACAAAGUGGUAAUGUUCAGACAGGAACAGAGGCUGUUGGUGAUCAGGACACCGAUUGUUAUGGGUCACAUGAAGGCUCUCUGAUGGACUCGGUGGCUCUGGUGCAGAUGAAGGAAGAGAUGGAGAUGAAGAUGGAAGUACAGAUUAGUUCUGGUUUGGAAGGUCCAGUGUUGGGUCCUAUCGCUGUUCCUGAGGUGGUAGAUCAAGGCUCUGAGACUGGAUCUGUUUGUCAGGACCGGUCCUCUGAAGAUCCUCUAUUAGGAUCUGACCCUAACCUCUCAGCAGUGCUAAGCCCUGCCUCCUCUCUCCCCGCAGCAGAACCUCUCUCUGCCUCCUCUCUCCCCCCAGCAGAGCCUCCCUCUGCCUCCUCUCCCCCCCCAGUGCACUGGGAAACGGGUGGCUCAGAGAUUUCAGAGGGAUCCUCAAGCUUGGUUGUCCAAGAGCCUGUUCCACCACUAAAUCAACCAACAAACCCAUCAACAGACCUACCUCCAGGCCCAGCUUUAACCUCACCUUCAGAGCAAGUGUCACUUCCAUCCCCAGCCUAUUCCCCACCACCAUCUCCGUCCCCAGCCUCAUGUCCACACCAACCUCCAGCCUCAGCUUUUCUGGCAGCAUCCAGCUCAUCUCCAACACAAUCCCAUUCCCCAAUCCCAAACCAUCCUCUAUCAGCCCUAACCACAACACCAAUCCCAUCCUCAAUUCCAAACUCACCAUCAGCCCAUUCCUUAACCGUAGCUCCAUCUCAAGCCCCAACCCCACUCGUCCCCCACAGUGGUGCUUUCAGGUCAGGUCGAUCUGUGUCUGUCCAGAUGCCCUCCUCCCUGCCCUCUGUCUCCCACUCUGCCCUCCGGAGAGGUGCUGUCCCCCACACCCCCUCCCCGCUCGGUCCUUCCUUCGAGCCCCUACCCCUGACUGACCUGACGCUCCGGCAGAGGCGGAACUCCUUCUCCAGGAAGGCGUGGUCAGAUGCUGAUGUCUCCCACCUUGCAGAACACAGAAACACUGCGGUUGCCAUGGGAAAGGCAGACAUGACACCUGAGACAAUAUCCCUCCCGUCCCCCUGCCCCUCCCCCUCCAUGUCAUCGUCCAAUCGGUGGCUGUCUCGCGACGGUUCACGAAGAUCCGGAAGUUUCCAGAUGAAGUCCACCUCCUUGGACACUGGGCUGUGGCAGGAGGAAGUGGGGGAAGAAGUGGGGGAUGAGGAUAGACGGUGGGAACGAGCCCUGUUCUCUGGGCUUUCCUGCUGCUGCUCCUGUGAUAACCGCUGUCGCUGCUGUUCUCAGAACAAUCGCCUCAAACCGUCCUCCGUUUCAGCUUUCCCUUAUUCACUGGAUGAGCUGGAGGGGAUGAUGCACUGUAUGAGGAAGUUCCGCUGUGUCCUGACAGACAUCGAGGAACAGCUGUCAGAAGACCAGGCCUCGGUGUACAGCUCACUCUCUGACACUGACAGAGAGGAAGUGCGAGACAUCUUGGAGCUGAGGAAAGCUGUGAAACAGGAAGCAGGAGAGUUGGAACUGCAGCUCACUGACCUGGUUCAUCGCUAUGACGACAGCUUCAAAAUGAAGAUGCACAGACUACUCGAUGAACAAUCUCACCUCUACACCCAGCUAAGGCUCCUGCCCCUGAUCCCUACGACCACAUCCACCCCUGGUUCUGCCUCCUCCAGGAGCAUGGCCACUCAGUGCUGCCUGCUGCCCUGGCUGCCUUUGACGGACAUGUCCAGGCCACGCCCCUCAUCGCAGGCCACCUGGGAUUUGGAGUCCAGAUCAGCUCUGCCAGAUUCCAGUUCUAUGGGCCAGAGGCUAAAACAUGGUUCUACAGGCACCAAGCCAGACAAACUGGACAUUGUGGGUUUCAUCCAGAGACUGAAGGAGUCCAUACGCCACUCUGUCAAUACUGACUCACUGGAGUAA
rnacentral:lncRNA from 1 species